rnacentral:rRNA from 1 species
AGUGAACGCUGGCGGUAGGCCUAACACAUGCAAGUCGAACGGCAGCACAGUAAGAGCUUGCUCUUACGGGUGGCGAGUGGCGGACGGGUGAGGAAUACAUCGGAAUCUACUUUUUCGUGGGGGAUAACGUAGGGAAACUUACGCUAAUACCGCAUACGACCUACGGGUGAAAGCAGGGGAUCUUCGGACCUUGCGCGAUUGAAUGAGCCGAUGUCGGAUUAGCUAGUUGGCGGGGUAAAGGCCCACCAAGGCGACGAUCGGUAGCUGGUCUGAGAGGAUGGUCACCCACACUGGAAGUGAGACAGGGUCCAGACUCCUACGGGAGGCAGCAGUGGGGAAUAUUAGACAAUGGGCGAAAGCCUGAUCCAGCCAUACCGCGUGGGUGAAGAAGGCGUUCGGGUUGUAAAGCCCUUUUGUUGGGAAAGAAAAGCAGCAGGUUAAUACCCCGCUGUUCUGACGGUACCCAAAGAAUAAGCACCGGCUAACUUCGUG